rnacentral:misc_RNA from 1 species
GAUGAAGAACGUAGCGAAAUGCGAUAAGUAAUGCGAAUUGCAGAAUUCAGUGAAUCAUCGAAUCUUUGAACGCACAUUGCGCCCCUUGGUAUUCCGGGGGGCAUGCCUGUUCGAGCGUCAUUACAACCCUCAAGCUCUGCUUGGUCUUGGGCGUCACCGGUCCCCGGUGUGCCUUAAAAUCAGUGGCGGCGCCAUCUGGCUCUAAGCGUAGUACAUACUCUCGCUACAGACGUCCGGUGGAUGCUGGCCAGCAACCCCCAAUUUAUCAAGGUUGACCUCGGAUCAGGUAGGGAUACCCGCUGAACUUAAGCAUAUCAAUAAGCGGAGGA